rnacentral:rRNA from 1 species
GCAAGUCGAGGGGUAACAGGGGAGCUUGCUUCCGCUGACGACCGGCGCACGGGUGCGUAACGCGUAUAGAACCUACCUUUUACAGAGGGAUAGCCUUUAGAAAUGAAGAUUAAUACCUCAUGGUAUUUUAGAUUGGCAUCAAUCAAAAAUUAAAGAUUUAUCGGUAAAAGAUGGCUAUGCGUCCUAUUAGCUAGAUGGUAAGGUAACGGCUUACCAUGGCAACGAUAGGUAGGGGCCCUGAGAGGGGGAUC